UGUGGAUCAAGGCUGGAGGAUGACAAGCUCCUGACUGAUAGAUACAUGGAGACUUCGCUGGUGAUUUAUUGGCUUUCUGCACCUGACGAGAACCACUAGGCCUAUCUGAGGAGGGAAAUAUAUGGGCUUUCCUGACUCCAAGUGGCAGCCCCGGGGCGAGCAUGUGAUGUCAAGCUGGGCAGAGGAAAGCGGAGCUGUGCACCGGCCUGUGUACUGUAAGCCGGCCCGGGUCGUAAAAGUGUCAGCACGCGAUAUAUUUCUUGCAGGGGAUCCUCUCUGGCUCUUGCCAGCGCCUCUCCCCCGUGGCUGGCAGCCGCCCUAGCCGGGCCUGCAAACAGCGGAUGCCCCAGGUCGCUAUCCCUCCGCCCUGCCCCGGAGCGCCGGGCCCUCACGUUCUCGCUCCAGCCUGGGGUCUCUCACGUGGCAUCUGGCCCUGGGGACGGUGCAGCGGAGGAGUUAAUUGCUGUCACUCCUGACUUCAGCGAAAGAGGUCGAUCGUGGGGUGAGAUAUUGAAGCUGGGGAUUGACCUGUGGACCAAGAGUUUGAUGGGGCAACUCAAUAGCAAACUCAAUGUUCCCAGAGAUGAACCAAGUAAUCAGUUAUUUAUUCAGAAAAUUAAGUGCCAUUCGUGUGCCAGGCACUGCGCCCCCUACCCGCAGGCCUCACCUUGGCCACCGGCCUGAGUUGUUCUCAUUUCUCCUCCCUCUACCUCCAGGCUUCUUCCUCGGGGUUAGCAGGGGCCUGGAGUGGAUGUUUAGUCUACCGGUCAGACUCCAGGUCUUAUAUCUUGAAACUGUAAGUCCCUGAAUUCACAGACAAUUCAGAGUAAGGAUGGAGGCAAAGAAGAGGACCUUGGGUUUACUGUUCACGAGAUGACCUCAUAAAGGUGUUCAGUGAUGAAGAGGAGUGGCUGAAGAGAUGGCUGUCUAGAGUCAACACAAACCUACCCCAAAGUUUGACCUUUGCCUUAAGUCAGUAACUGAGGAGGGCCACGGUCCUGAGUUCAGUCCAGACCCCAGGAAGAUUCAGAGCCUGCAGUUGUCCUCUGGUUUCUAAAGUAUGUUAUUGGGCUAAAGAUUUCAAGACAUUUAUCCUUCUUUGCUUUCUAUCGCAGCCAUUAAAUGUUUUAGAUAUUUUCUGCCAGAAGGCAGGAAUCAUGAAGAUAACAAAUAUUAAAGACAAAACCAAAUAACUUUUAAUGAGAAGGUCAGUCCGUGGUUUGAGUCUUUGGAAAGAAAUCAAGAACUCUGACUAUACUUGCUAUUUGACCAUUGAUUCUCUAGUGGAAAUGGGCAAAUCUUUUAUACCAGGGCAAAUUUUUCAGUAACGGGCCAGACAGCAAAUAUUUUAGGAAUUGUGGGCCAUACAGUCUCUCUCCCAACUACUUAACUCUUCAGCAUAGCAUAAAAGCAGCCAUAAACAAUACUACAACAAGUAUGGCUGCAUUCCAAUAAAACUUUAUUUACAAAAAUAGGCAGCACGCCAGAUUUGGCCCACAAGCUAUAGCUUUCUGACCCCUGCUUUGCCAAACUCAAUAACAAACAGAGAGGGAGACUCUUUUAAAAAAAUUAUAUUCAUUUGGGAGUAGCAUUGCAAUGGGAAUACGUGUGCCAUAGCAAAUUAUGAGCGUAUUCAAAGAGAUUGGGGCAAGGGGAAGUUUAUAAAGGCAAAACGAAGAGGAUUACAAUUGUUCAAAUCAAUUAUCCUUGGCUACAAGGGUGGCACAAGUCCAAGCUUGAACAGGCAGUUGCUAGACAGACAUCCUUACAGAAGUAUUUUCUGUGUAAGGUUGCAGUGGUCUUUUUGCAAAGCUAUAGUAAAUCACAGGGGUCAGUACAACCGUAGUGCAAUGGAUAAGCCUUGCCCUCGGAAAAUCUUCGUGAUCAUGGUAUCUCCCCUGCCAAAUAAAUAUUGUGACAGUUCUUAUCAGGCAUUCAUGUGUAAGAACUCUCCCUUGAUGGCCUUCCCUGGCUCCAUUUGCCAGGGUUUUAACAUAAAUUACUCCAUUUUGAUUCGGACAACUUUCAUAACUGCUUACCAUCUGUGCCUCUGUGUAUAAAAGUGGACAUACUAAAAUUUUUCCUUAGGGCUACAACUAAACAUCCAGCCUAGCCCUUAGCCAGCACCAAGGAAGAGGCCUGGGGGAUAGAGGAACAAAUAAUGAGACCAAGUCAGGCCAUCCCCCAUGGGGUGAGGCCUGCAGGUAGGUGGGCCCAGUGUGGUGUACCUCUAGCACAGUGCCUGGCACAAAAUUGCAGUUUAUUUUCUGAAUAAAUAACUCUUGGAUCAAUUGGUUGCUCUCUGGGAAUGUGACUUUGCUGUUGAGUUGUGCAGAGUACUCUCUGUCUCCAAGCCAAUCCCAGCUUCAGUAUCUCACCCCACAAUCCACAUUUCCCAGUGUCUGGAGUAACAACAAUGACCUGGGGCUGGGCUCUCAGCAAGUCAAACCCUGCCUCAACAAACCCAAACUGCUUUGGGGACCAAUGUGAUGCAAAUGUGUACUGAAUCCCCUGAAUUCCCCCUGGUGAUCCUGUCCUGUAACAGGCCCUCCCCAUCCCCUCAGGCCAGUGCAUUCAGGAAAUCAGUGACCACAGGAUGGUUUCUCAGCUGGAGGGAAGGUCAGCCUGCAUCUGAGCAUCUUAGAACAUGUUAUUUUGUUCCCACUGGUCAAUCCCGUCCAAGCUGUACACAUAGUGCCUAAGCCACGUUUGUUACUGCAGGCCUGUCUUCGGAAAGGUCACUGAACAGAAGGAGGAGGC
rnacentral:lncRNA from 1 species